UAGAUAGAUGCUUGUUGGUUUGGGCGCUUAGCUGUUAACUAGGACUUUGUAGGAUCGAAGCCUACCUAUCUAG
rnacentral:tRNA from 1 species